CAGAGAUUCAGCUGGGAAAAGCUGAAUUGGAGGAGGCAGCUGGUGUCUCUCUGAACACUAGAAUCUUGCUUGGACAAAUCUUGUGCUACUGGUGUGUGGGAAUUCUUAUGUAUUCUGUGAGCCUCAAACAAGGCUGAAGCAGAAUGAUAUAGAGGACUUGAGUCAAGAAUCCUAGAUUCAGAUCCUUCCUCUGAAAAACUUGCUAGCUUUGUGACCCUGAGCAAGUAGCUUAACUUUGGACACCAAGAAGUUUAACAACUCUGCUCAGAAAAAAGCUCUUGCACUAAGUAACUUUCCAUAAGUACAGGAUCAUCUUGAAAAACAAAGUAGAAGGAAGAGCUCAGGGUAAAUUCCAAUCUACUAAUUCUAAUUUUGGAUUUAGAGCUCUAAGGGGCCUCUGAAACUAUCUAGACCAACCCUGCUGAUUUAAGCAUUGUUCUGAUGCUCCCUAACUGUGUAAAGUUAGGCAAGUCCUUUAACUUUCCUAACUCUAUUUCCUCAUCUAUAAAUGAAGGGCUUGGACAGCUGACCUCUGUUUGCUUCUAAUUCUAAGUCUAUGAUCCUAUGAAUUGAAUUUUGAUAAUAAUGUGUGUCCUGAGAAAGCAUCCACUUUGUGAAUAGAGGAAUUAUGGAGUGUUUAAGUGAUUUGUGUAUUUAUAACAGUCUUUAGAUUCUGAAGGGGGAAUAGGUGGAAGAAGGACAAAGGAGGGGAAAAGAUAAAAGCCAAUUAACACGGUUUAGAUACUAUAUUUGAAAAAAAAAUCUAAGAAUGAAUGGCAAUGGAUCAUAGUGUUUAGAGUGACAGUUAAUGUUACAAAUAAGUGAGAAUUAUUGAUUUAAUUCCUGAAGGUGUUCUAUCCCAUCUCUAUGUGGGCAAUUCAGAGCUGAUAACAAGAAUUGACAUUUCUAUGGCACUUUAGAAAUUCCAGUGCAUUGUAUCAAUAUUAUAUCAUUUAAGUCUUAUGAUGGGACUGUGAAAAAGAUGAUAUAGUUACCAUCCUUAUUUAACUGAUGGGGAAACUGAGUCUCAUAUAUAAAAAGAUUUAGUAACAUUUUGCUGGACAGAAUCUAAACCAAGUUUGUUCUGACUCUUAUUGUGGCAUUCUGCUUAUAUUAAAUUUGUAAAAAUUGUAUCCAGCUCACAAAAAUAAUGUAUGGAUAAUUCUAGACACUUCAUAUCCUCAUCUUCAAUGACCUGGCACUUAUGGUUUUUUGAACCUUUUCCCAAAAAUCAUUUCUUGCACUAAUUUGGAAAAUGGGAGCAAUGUCAGGUACAUACAAGGAUUUAUUGAGUUUGCCAAGUGUCCAUCCCUAAGAGGCAAGAAAGCAUGAAUCACUGAGACAUCAGGGAAUGAAAAGAAUCAGGGCUAGAUAAGCAUUUGAAAUGAAUGAAGGGAGAGAAUCAAUGCAAACACAGUAAAUCACUUCAUGGUUGGAUAAAAUGAAAAAAGGAAGAAAAUGUGGAGAAAGAGGUAGAAACAAACUUACUACCUAUGUAGUGUUAGGCAACCACUUCUCGCCUAAGUGUUCAUAAUCACAGAAUGGUUUUGGUAGAAAAUGUUAUAGAGAUCAACGAGGCUAAACGAUUCCAAAUAAUUCCUUCUAUAGGUUCCCUAACAAACAGUUGUCUAAUUUCUUGCUUUUUUGUUGCUUCUCUUUGCUUUCCAUGUCUGACUCUUCAUGACCCCAUUGGAAAAGAUAUUUGAAUAAUUUGCCAUUUACUUCCCCAGUUAAUUAUAAAAUGAGGAAACUGAGGCAAACUGAAUUAGGUGAUUUGCUCAGGGUCACACAACUUAAAAGUGUCUGAGGCUGGAUUUAAAUUCAGGAAAAUGAAUCCUUCUGAUUCCAAGUCCAGUGUUCUAUCAAUUGAACUACAUAGCUGCCUCUUGGUAUUCCUGCACCUUUAUAUUCCUGCUUUUUAUGAACAGUCAUAAUGAUACUUGUCUGUUAUAUAUGCUAGCAAGGAGUUGGGGCUCAGAUAUUCUGAGCUACAGGAAACAAGGGCAGUCUGGUGCCUACAAUAAAGCUUAUACCAAUAUGUUAAACUGGCCAGGAACAAGUCACCACAAUGGUGUCUACAGAUGGAAGAACUGGUCCAGUUUAUAAAUGAAGCUCCUUAUAUGCUGAUCAGUAAUGGAAUGAGUCUUAUGAGAAGUAACUUGAUGAGCCAAAGAUAGGAAUAUAGUUAGAGACACACAGAGAGAUAGAAAUAGAGAUAGAGAUGAUAGAAAAAUAGAGAAAGAAAGAAAGAAAAAAAGGAAGGAAGGAGGGAAGGAAGGAAGAAAGGAAGGAAGGAGGGAAGGAAGAAAGAAAGAAAUGAAGGAACCAAGAAAGAGGGAAAGAAAUGGGAAGAGAGAGAGAGGAGGGAGAAAGAAAAAGAGAGAGGGCUUUAUAUAUAUAUAUAUUUGCAUACAUACAUAUAGAGAGAGGGAGAGAGAAAGGGAAUGAGCCAAAGGAAAAGGUAGAGAGAAAGUGAGAGGGAGAAAGAGGAGAUGGGGAGGAGAGAGAGAGUUAGAGAGUUAGAGAGUUAGUUAGAGAGUUAGAGAGUUAGAGAGAGAGAAGAAAUGACCCAGAAAUCCUGGCUUCUAUUUUCAGACACUAUAAAAAUGGGUGUGGAGUCAUUCCUCAUAUGGAAAAUAAAGACAAAGUCUAAAAUAUCCUGAAGAAUUCUUCGACCUGUAAAUCCUAUGAGAAAAUUUCCUACGAAUGACAUUUACUGAACAAAACUCUAGGAACAUAGUGAAUGAGAUACAGUACUAUAAUUACAACAGCUCUCAACUUUGAAAACCCUGACAUGGCUUGUUUGAUUUUGUUAUAUUCUCUAUUGCCCUGUAAAUGGCUGAAUGGGGCUUUCUUUUUAAAAAUUGAUUCUGCUUCAAUAAAUCUUCCAGAAUUUCAUUUUACCCUUAAGAAAAUUUCAGAAACAUCCAAAUACCAAAAAAAAAAGUGUUGAAUUGCUGUUCCACAUGUUUGACCAGGUUUCAAGAACAUAUCACAGUAUCUCAGAGGUCAUCUAAUCCUAUUUGUACCUGAAUAAGAAUCCUAAAUUUAGUAUCAUUAAAAGUAAUAAUUCAAACUUCAUUUGAAGAUGGAGCUGAAGAUGUUUAGUGAGGGAAGACUCGCAUACUGUGAAGCAACUUUCAUUUUGAAUUAAUCAAUAAAUCAACAUUUAUUAUAUAUCUGGCACUGUGCUAAUCUCUGGGCAUAGUAUUCUCCUUUCCCCGAUCUCCUUUGAGGAACUUGCAACAUGCAAAGGAAUAUAUACAGGAUAAC